UGGAACUUUCCUGCUCAGGUCGACCAGUAGUACUAGUACUCCAUGGCUAGCUUCUAUUAUAUAUACAUACGGAUCACCUCAGGAUAUCUUCAUUGUUCUUCUCAUUGUCUAAGCCCGCAAAUUACCAAUAUUCCCACCUUCCACAAUUAAGCUUCUAAAUCUCUCGCAUUGCAUUCAUGGGCCAAAUCAUCGCCACUCUAGGACCCUCUUCAUCUACUAAUUCCGAGAAUACUAAGAAAAGAAAAAGAGACAAUUCAUCUUGUUCGGAAGAAGAUGAAAUAAUCAAAACCUCUUCCUUACCUUCUUCCUCGACGCCUCGAUGGAAAUAUGAAGUUUUCCUUAGUUUCUAUGGCGAAGACACUCGCAGGGGUUUUACAGAUCAUCUGCAUGCUGAUUUAAAACGGAAAGGCAUUGUCGUCUUUAGGGAUGACGAAACACUCCAGCAAGGAGAAUGCAUUUCUCAAGCGCUUCUGAAAGCAAUUCAACAAUCACAAUACGCCAUCGUCAUUCUUUCGGCAAAAUAUGCUUCUUCCAAAUGGUGCCUCAUGGAACUUGCCGAGAUCGUUGAAUGGAAGAAAAAGACGAAGCUGAUCACAAUUAUUCCUAUUUUCUACCAUGUGGAUCCUUCCGAUGUAAGAAAUCAAAGAGGGACUUUUGAAGAAGCUUUCGCCGCACAUGAAAAAGAUCCCAAGGUAGACAUCAAAGAGAUUAAUACGUGGAGAAAAGCUUGCAAAAUAGUCGGGGGUCUUAAGGGAGAACACAUAAAGGGGGACAGGUACGAGUCAACAAUUAUACAACAAAUCAGUGGAAUAAUAUUCAACAAUUAUACAAUGCUAAAUAUUCGAAUUCAUUAUGAUGGCCAGAAACUUGUUGGAAUAAACUCCCGUGUAGAGGAAAUGAUCAACUUAUUGGAUAUGGAAUCGAAUGAUGUUCGCUUCUUAGGAAUUCAUGGGAUGGGUGGCGUUGGUAAAACAACGCUAGCUGAAAUAAUUUGUGGAAGAGUUUCUUGUCAAUUUGAAGGAAGCAGCUUUAUUUCUUGUAUUAGAGAAAAAUCUACUACUGCUCGUGGUCUAGCUUCUCUACAAAAAGAACUUCUUUCUAUGAUCAUGCCAGAUCAAGAAAUACGUAUCUGGGAUCAUCACCAGGGAAUCAAGUUGAUGAGCACCAGGUUGCAGAAUAAAAAGGUUCUUAUCAUUCUUGAUGAUGUGGAUUGUGAAAAGCAACUGACGGCAUUAGCAGGGAAUCGGAAAUGGUUUGGUCCAGGGAGUAGGGUUAUUAUAACAUGCAGAGAUAGUCAUAUAUUGAUAACACAUGGUGUGAAUGAUACCUAUAAGGUUGAGCUGCUUCAAACCGCCGAUGCUUUGCAGCUAUUUAGUUUGUCAGCCUUCGACAAAACCAAUCCUCCAGAGAAUUACAAGGAUCUAUCUAUGGGUUUUGUGCAUUAUGCUGGAGGCCUUCCUUUAGCUCUUCAAGUUUUGGGUCGCUUCUUAUUUGGGAGAACGAUAGAUGCAUGGAAAAGUGCUAGGGAUCAACUAGAAGCAAAUCCUAAAAAAGAAAUUUUUGAUAUUCUUAAAAUAAGUUUUGAUGGGCUGGAGGAAUCGCAGCAACAAAUGUUUUUGGAUGUGGCAUGUUUUCUCAAAAGAUUUGGGCGGCUAAGUGACUUUUUUAAGAAAAUAUAUCCAGCCAUCGACAUUGACGUUCUCGUCAACAAGUCCCUCGUAAGCAUAUCAAAAUAUCCCCCUGACAAGUUGAUCAUGCAUGAUUUGCUAAAAAAAAUGGGUCAGGAAAUAGUUCGCCGCGAAGAUCCUAACGAACCUGGACGACGUAGUAGACUGUUUGGUGUGGAGGAUGUCUAUGACGUACUGAAGAAUGAUACUGGAACUGAUGCAAUUGAAGGCAUUUUCCUGGAUCUUUAUUUCGAAACGAAACAUGGUGAAUUCAAUGCUGAAGCAUUCUCAAAGAUGAGAAAAUUGAGAUUUCUUUGUUUCGAUGCAGCUUUAGAAUAUAUAAAAUGGCAUGGAAAUCCUUUUCAAUACAUGCCAAGCGAUAAGUUGCGAUUCCUACACUGGCGUGAAUGUCCUUCAAAAUCCUGGCCGAGCAGUUUCCAACCAAAAAAUGUUAUUGUACUAAACAUGCCUGGCAGCCACUUCAAACAACUCUGGAAGGGAUUGAUGGUUUUAGACAAUUUGAAAUACUUAAAUCUGUGUGAUUCUUGGAAAUUGAUUGAAACACCAGAUUUGAGUGGAGUUUCAAAUCUUGAGGAAAUAAAAUUUUCAAAUUGUACAAACUUGUGUGAGAUCCACCCAUCCAUCAGAUCUCUCAAACGACUAAAACAUUUGAAUUUAAAGGGAUGUUCAAGACUUGGGAAUUUCCUAAAUAUUCUGGGAGAUAUGACAUCUCUAGAGAGGUUGAGUUUACCAUCAUCGGAAGUCUCAAUUUUUCCGAGUGUUAUUUAUAGUUUGUCCUCUCUUGAAAGACUCCAAUUGGAUGGUUGGUCAAGACUAGAGAAAUUUCCAGACCUGAGUAGGUUGGAAUGCUUGAAGAAAUUUAAGGCGUACGAAACUGCUAUAACACAAAUGCCAUCUGUCAAUCUAAUCCCCAAGAGCAUCCGUUCCUUAGAUCUCAAAUUACCAAAGAGGAUGCCACGUGAAUCAAGAGAUUCGGUUAUGUUCAUUAGUGACUACUCUUUGUCGAAACAAAGCUCAUAUCCCACCAAUCGUGAUAUCGAAUCACCUGUAGAAUUUGAGACGGAAGAAAAGUUUAGGGUGCACAUUGAUUUUAGCAAUCCGGCCUCACAGAUGUAUAUACAAAGGUGGUCGUUGGGAUCUAGAAUUCCGGAGUGGGUCCACAAUAAAAAGUAAUGGCUCCUCUCUUUCUUUUGACAUGUGUAAUGGCUCCUCUCUAAAGAGAGAGUGUGAUGGUAAUACGAUGUCGGUGAUGGGGAUUGCUAUCUUUAUUGUUUGUCAAUUCUAUUCAAUUCCUCCAGUUAAUUUCUCCGGAUGUGAAUAUGUGGCGUUUCCUAUUUGGUUGGAUGACGGUACUCCAGAAAAUUAUUUUUGGCGAUUUUGGUUUCCCAAGGACGUAAUUUUGGAUAAGCCAAUUGUAUUAUGGGAGUAUUUAUGGGAUUCGAGAUAUUUGGCAAGCUGGAAAUUGAAGAGUCUGGAUAAACGGAAGAUUUCCACUACAGCAGAAUUUAUAGAUUCCGUCUGUCAAACUAAAUUUAUGGAAGUAGGAGUGAUCAAAGAAUGGGGAUUGCAUUUAGUAUGUCUGGAUGAUGCUGGUAUUGGUUUGGGAUCAGAUUUAGAUUCCUUCAUCGAUUUUAGUAAAUUAGGAUUGGAAACGCUGCAUGACAAGAAUGAAGAUUAGAUUCAUCAGGAGUACCCCUUUCAAGCUUAGUCGUUUUGAGUAAGUAUAGUGCUAGGGACAGUCGUUGCAUGCAAACGGCAUAAGUCGGCUGAUGUGGUAUUAUGCCACGUCAGCCAUUAUAUUAAAAAAAAAAAAAAAACAGAAAUGCAAGAAAGAUAAAACUAUGAAAGCUUCUUCUCCAAGUCUCUGUAAAACACACUUUGUUUCUGAGAUGCUUCUUGCAUUUGGAGCGAUCAAGGAUCAUUUUUUCACAGUGUUCGUGGUGGUUUGAGAUCAUGCAGUUGGUUCACAUUGUGCUUUGAAAAAAAGUGAGAAAAACAGUGCAUUUGCAUCACAAUCUUCGGCAUUGUCGUCCGUAAGCAACCUGUUAGAUGCAGGAGUAUUGUCUGUGGAGCUUCUGCUGGUUAUUUUUGAAUGGAGCUUGGAAGAAAUCACGGACUGGCAAUACCUAGUUUUUGAUAGGUUUUGUAACUAUUUUUGUAAGAAGAAAACUUAGUGGUUGCUAUAGUUUUUGUAAUUAUUUGUGUAGGAAGAAAUAGUGGUUAUAGUUUUUGUAAUUAUUUUUGUGAGAAGAAAUAUUGGUUGUUAUGGUUUUUGUAAUUAUUUUUUUGGGAAGAAAUAUUGGUUGUUAUGGUUUUUGUAAUUACUUUUGGGGGAAGAAAUAUUGGUGAUUAUAGUUUUUGUAAUUAUUUUUGCAAGUUGAAAUCUGGCAAGUAAUAUACGGUUUGAGUAGGAUGAUUUCCAGUGGUGACUUUAGUAUAA